CAAACAUGUCUUACUAAAGUUAAAAAUCAUUAAAUGAAUUUAAAAAAAUAAGAAACUAAAAAAGGAUCACAACUUCACAAAAAUCACAAGGCGACAUAACCUUAUUAAAGAAAAUCUCCAAUUACUAUUAGGUACGGAUUAAAACAGAAGAAACAAAUAACAACCGUACCUUAAAAUCUAGGAAAAACCACCAUAGGAAACCGAGCGGUACACAGCCAAACAAACAACACCAGCCGUUGAUGAAAUGUCCAGAUUAAAUUGCCC